UACGUAGGGAGCAAGCGUUGUCCGGAUUUAUUGGGCGUAAAGAGCUCGUAGGCGGUUACGUAAGUCAGGUGUGAAACCUCCAGGCUCAACCUGGAGACGCCACUUGAUACUGCGUUGACUUGAGUUCGGUAGGGGUAAGCGGAAUUCCUGGUGUAGCGGUGAAAUGCGCAGAUAUCAGGAGGAACACCGGUGGCGAAGGCGGAUCUCUGGACCAGUUCUGACACUGAUGAGCGAAAGCCAGGGGAGCAAACAGG
rnacentral:rRNA from 1 species